rnacentral:misc_RNA from 1 species
GAGUUUACAACUCCCAAACCCCUGUGAACAUACCUAUCGUUGCUUCGGCGGAUCCGCCCCGGUGCCUUCGGGCCCGGACUCAGGCGCCCGCCGGGGGACCCAAACUCUUGUAUUUCUUUAGUAUCUUCUGAGUAAACAAGCAAAUAAAUUAAAACUUUCAACAACGGAUCUCUUGGUUCU